AGUAGGAUCAGCUAACUAAGCUAUCGGGCCCAUACCCCCGAAAAUGAUGGUUUAAUCCCUUCUCCUACUA
rnacentral:tRNA from 1 species